UGGGCAAUCUGCUCUUCUCAUCGGAAUAAGCGUUGGAAACGACGUCUAAUGCCGAAUACGACCUCCUUUCGCAUGAUCGGAGGUGGAAAGCUCCGGCGGAGAAGGAUGAGCUCGCGGCCUAUCAGCUAGUUGGUGUGGGUAAUGGCCCACAAGGCGACGACGGGUAGCCGGCCUGAGAGGGUGACCGGCCACACUGGGACUGAGACACGGCCCAGACCUCCGUACGGGAGCAG
rnacentral:rRNA from 1 species